GACGAACGCUGGCGGCGUGCUUAACACAUGCAAGUCGAACGGGUCUGCCCUGUUUUUUGCGGGGUGGGUCAGUGGCGAACGGGUGAGUAACACGUGAGUAACUUGCCCCUCACUUCUGGAUAACCGCUUGAAAGGGUGGCUAAUACGGGGUGUUCUGGCUGUGCCGCAUGGUGUGGCUGGGAAAGAUUCACUUUUGUGGUGUUUUGGUGGGGGAUGGGCUCGCGGCCUAUCAGCUUGUUGGUGGGGUGAUGGCCUGCCAAGGCUUUGACGGGUAGCCGGCCUGAGAGGGUGGGCGGUCACACGGGGACUGAGAUACGGCCCAGACUCCUGCGGGAGGCAGCAGUGGGGGGUAUUGCACAAUGGGCGGAAGCCUGAUGCGGCGACGCCGCGUGAGGGAUGGAGGCCUUCGGGUUGUGAACCUCUUUCGCCGGUGAAGAAGGUCCUGCUCUUUGUGGUGGGGUUGACGGUAGCCGGGUUAUGAAGCGCCGGCUAACUACGUG
rnacentral:rRNA from 1 species